CCGGCUAACUUUUGUGUUUUUUGUAGAGGCGGGGUUUCACUAUGUUGCUCAGUCUGGUCUCCAACUCCUGGGCUCAAGCAACCCUCCCGCCUUGGCCUCCCAAAGUGCUGGGAAUCUAAGCUGUGGAACUUUCUUCAGAUUUCCCUGAGGACUGCAGGUGCACGACGGUCGUUUCUGGGCUCAGAGUAGGGCAACUCUCAGAUUGCAGCUCCUGCGAACCGUUCGCGACCGUCUCCAGCACUCGCGGACCCCCAGAGGAAUGUUUUAUUUUCUCCAUAGCAUUGAUGGAAUAUAUAUCCUUAUACGUUCCAUGUAUAUCUCAGCAAGAAUACGCAAGGAAGUGGUACCAGCGGUUGCCUCUAGGGAGAACUGGGGAGAUUGAGGGUAAAAUUUCCCUUUCUCGUGUGUAGUGUUUUUUUUCACUUUCCUGCCUGCAUGGAUUACCUUAAAAAAAUUCAACAUCAGGGAGUACCCAAGUUUGUGGCACAAGCAUGCACUGAGCACUUGCCUUGUGGCAGGCACCGUGAAGUCCCUGGGGUAGAGAGAAUCCAGAAACAAGGUUUCACUCUGUUGCCCAGGCUGGAGUGCAGUGCUCUUCACAGGUGUGAUUCCACUACUCAUCAGCGUGGGAGUUUUGACCUGCUCCGUUUCUGACCUGGGCCGGUUCACCCCUUCAUAGAGUGUGGCUGCUUUACCCAGGCUGGAGUGCAGUGGCGAGAUCUCAGCUCACUGC